GUCUGGGUAACAUCAAUCGUCAUCGUAGAGGAGGUGACAAAAACUCGAUGGCUUAGCUCUUCAUCAUCUAAAAGUCACAACUUGCAGUAUUGAAUAAUCUUAAGAUAACUCGUAUACAAGAGCACUAUGCUACUUCAACAAAGACGAGGAUGAACACAAAUUCACUAACAUUCACAUAAACUGGGCUAAACUUUUUGUAUGGAGAACAUAAUUUCUUCCUCGAAAUAGAAGCUAACAAAAGCACUCAGGCAGAAGACCCAAACAGAAAUUGGACCUUCUAUUUCUUCAGAUGACUUCCUAGGAACUGCUGGAAGGCUAGCUGUGCUGCACCCUCCACCAAAGGACUCCAAGCACAAGCCUGGAUUCCCAGCAAAAGCUCCUGGAAACCUCCGAUAGCCUUCUUUCUGGGGAACAAAUCAAGAUAAACUGUUAUAUGACAAAUUCAAGUGUGUAAGAUCUUUAAGACCGGAGAUCUUCCAUGGGAUCUGGCCUGACAAAGAAUUACGUGACAAAUCCAAAACCAUCAAACUCGACAUCUUCUCUAAACCUGGAACCUUACCAUCAAGAAAAUUGUAUGAUAAGUUGAGGUACGCCAAACCUUGCAGUCCAAAUCGGCCAUCCGGAAUCUCCCCAUGUAACAAAUUAUCAGAAAAAUCAAUUCCAACGGCUGAAGACAGAUGUUAGGUGAAGCUUAGUUCAUUGCUACCAAUGACCAACACUGAUGUUGAUCUCCACACUUUGAUUUGUAACAAAAGGUUCCAUGGCCAAAGAAAUUCAUCAUUUGGAUCUCUGAAGCACGGAAACGGCAUCCUCUGAAGUUUUCCGUUUCGGAAACGUUUCCGUUUUCCGACAGGGACACAGCAGGGAAACGUGUUGGGCCGUAUCCAGAAAUUGCGAAAGUUGGACACGCGUUUCCUCUUAAGAAAUGCUUUUCUUUCAAUGCAGGAACAAAGCCGUCGCAGGCAGAAAAGCAACACUUCGCAAACAGCAGAAGAAGAAGAAGAAGAACUCGAGAGAGGUUCAGAAGUUAAGUGGCAGUACUUGGUAGGCGUAAAUGAAAAGCACCAAAGGGAGACCUGAAACCCAUCUUUCUCUAUGAAGCCAAAGUACGGACAACAGAACGAGAUGGGGGACACUCAGAUACUGACAGGAAUAAACUU
rnacentral:misc_RNA from 1 species